AAGAGCCGGAUGACGGGAGACUGUCACGUCCAGAUCUGUGACGGCCUGGGGGUGAAAUUCCCCCGGGCUACUCGAC
rnacentral:ncRNA from 1 species